rnacentral:rRNA from 1 species
GACGUAGGUGGCGAGCGUUGUUCGGAAUCACUGGGCAUAAAGCGCACGUAGGCGGCCAAGUCAGUCAGGUGUGAAAUACCUCGGCUCAACCGAGGAACUGCGCCUGAUACUGCUUGGCUUGAGGUCCGGAGGGGAGAGUGGAAUUCCCGGUGGAGCGGUGAAAUGCGUAGAGAUCGGGAAGAACGCCGGCGGCGAAAGCGGCUCACUGGACUGGUAUUGACGCUGAGGUGCGAAAGCGUGGGGAGCAAACAGG